rnacentral:rRNA from 1 species
AUUGAACGCUGGCGGCAUGCCUUACACAUGCAAGUCGAACGGUGAAAGCGGAGCUUGCUCCGCUGGAUCAGUGGCGAACGGGUGAGUAACACGUGGGCAACCUGCCCCUCACUUCGGGAUAACUCCGGGAAACAGGGGCUAAUACCGGAUAUGACCUCCUUGGGCAUCCUUGGAGGUGGAAAGUCUUUCGGUGAGGGAUGGGCCCGCGGCCGAUCAGCUUGUUGGGGAGGUAGUGGCUCACCAAGGCGACGACGGGUAGCCGGCCUGAGAGGGCGACCGGCCACACUGGGACUGAGACACGGCCCAGACUCCUACGGGAGGCAGCAGUGGGGAAUAUUGCGCAAUGGGCGAAAGCCUGACGCAGCAACGCCGCGUGCGGGAUGACGGCCUUCGGGUUGUAAACCGCUUUCAGCAGGGAAGAAGCCGCAAGGUGACGGUACCUGCAGAAGAAGCACCGGCUAACUACGUGCCAGCCGCCGCGGUAA